rnacentral:rRNA from 1 species
GAUGAACGCUGACAGAAUGCUUAACACAUGCAAGUCGACUCGAGUCUUCGGACUUGGGUGGCGCACGGGUGAGUAACGCGUAAAGAACUUGCCUCUUAGACCGGGACAACAUCUGGAAACGGAUGCUAAUACCGGAUAUUAUGGCUUUUUCGCAUGGAGGAAUCAUGAAAGCUAGAUGCGCUAAGAGAGAGCUUUGCGUCCCAUUAGCUGGUUGGUGAGGUAACGGCCCACCAAGGCAAUGAUGGGUAGCCGGCCUGAGAGGGUGAACGGCCACAAGGGGACUGAGACACGGCCCUUACUCCUACGGGAGGCAGCAGUGGGGAAUAUUGGACAAUGGACCGCAAGUCUGAUCCAGCAAUUCUGUGUGCACGAUGACGUUUUUCGGAAUGUAAAGUGCUUUCAGUCGGGAAGAAGUCAGUGACGGUACCGACAGAAGAAGCGACGGCUAAAUACGUGCCAGCAGCCGCGGUAAUACGUAUGUCGCAAGCGUUAUCCGGAUUUAUUGGGCGUAAAGCGCGUCUAGGCGGCAAGGAAAGUCUGAUGUGAAAAUGCGGAGCUCAACUCCGUAUGGCGUUGGAAACUGCCUUACUAGAGUACUGGAGAGGUAGGCGGAACUACAAGUGUAGAGGUGAAAUUCGUAGAUAUUUGUAGGAAUGCCGAUGGGGAAGCCAGCCUACUGGACAGAUACUGACGCUAAAGCGCGAAA